CACAAAUUGUAAUCACCAAAAACACAUACAACUUUGAAUCUGAUUGGUGUCUCCACUUUCCAGAUUCUCAGUCAGAGUGCAGCACUGUAUUAAUAUUUUAAAGUGCACAUACAACAGAAUGCAGGUACAUAAACACUUACCCCUUUAAGAGUAUAUCUCAGGGGAUUUACAUGGAAAUAAAUGAGAAAAACACAUAGAAAUAGUGUGAUAUUGUAUAAUAUGAG